UGGCGAAGUGCUGCGGUGUCUGCUGAGCUGGUCUGUGCUCCUGAGGAACUCCAGGGCGACCCCAGUCCUGCAGGAUGAGUCCAGUCACACACAACCCCAGCUUCAAACACAUCAACACUGCCCAGAUUACGUAAGGGCCCUUUCCUGCUUCCCAGAUCCUUUGCCUCACCAUAUGCUGGGAGAUGGGAUUAACCCUAAGGAAGGGAACACAGCAAUUUCCGGACUGAAAAGCCCUUCUGAUGAAACUGUCCACGAGCAGAGAUUUACACAAUUUACAUCAAAAAGGAUAAAAAUAUCAGCUGCUAUCUCUGCAUUGAUUGCUCUGGAUCAAAUAGAAGGGUGUUUGAGAAAUACUCAGCAGAGCAAACUAUGGAAAGUCAAAGUCUAACCAAACAUCUGAUUGAUUUGGCUCUGGAGUGUGGGAGUGAGGAGGUUCAGCUGCACAAGACAGAAAUGUAGUGCCUGAAUUCUGUUCAGAUGGGAAUCACCUACUGGUGUGCUUUGAGCUGCCUUUAUGUUUCCAGGGGUAGUUAAAGCUGGGAAGUUUGAGGCAGGUAGGACCUGUGAUCUGAGCAGAGCUGGGGAUCAAAGACUGAAUCAGAAAAGGUUUCGGUGAAUUUGCCUUCAAGUCUUCUUGACUCCAUCACAAGCUGUAUCAGUCACAAUUUUGGGUGUGGACAUCAGGUUGACACCAUUACAUUGCCCCUCCCUGCACGUUUCACAUAAUAGUGUUCACUAUUAAACAAUUAGCAAAAGCUCCUAUACU